rnacentral:rRNA from 1 species
GACGAACGCUGGCGGCGUGCUUAACACAUGCAAGUCGAACGGUCAAGCGCCUUCCUUUUUGGUGGGUGUUGAUGAGUGGCGAACGGGUUAGUAACACGUUAGUCUCCUGCCCCCUCCUUCUUGAUAACCGCAUGCCAGUGUGGCUAAUACGUGAUAUUCUGGGUCUGUUGCAUGAUUGGUCUGGGAAAGUUAUUGUUUCGGUGGGGGAUGGGGUCGCGGCCUAUCAGCUUGUUGGUGGGGUGAUGGCCUACCAAGGCGGUGAGGAGUAGCCGGCCUGAGAGGGUGGGCGGUAACAGAGGGAAGGAGACACGGAGAAGACUCCGAGGGGAAGCAGCAGGGGGGAAUAUGGCAUGAGGGGAGGAAGGCUGAUGCAGCGACGCCGCGGGAGUGAUGGAGGCCGUCGGGUUGUGAACCGCUUUCGGGAAAGAAGAAGGCCGGCCGCGUUUGUGGGUGGGUUGACGGUAGCUGGAUAAGAAGCGACGGCUAACUACGUG